UGGGGAAUAUUGCGCAAUGGGCGAAAGCCUGAUCCGGCGACGCCGCGUGUGUGAAGAAGGCCUGCGGGUUGUAAAGCACUUUCGAUGGGAACGAAAUGUGCCGGGUUAAUACCCCGGUAAGCUGACGUUACUCAAUGAAGAAGCACCGGCUAACUCUGUGCCAGCAGCCGCGGUAAUACAGAGGGUGCGAGCGUUAAUCGGAAUUACUGGGCGUAAAGCGCACGUAGGUGGCGACGUAAGUCGGGUGUGAAAGCCCCGGGCCAACCUGGGAAUUGCAUUCGAGACUGCAUUGCUGGAGUACGGAAGAGGAGGGCGGAAUUCCCGGUGUAGCGGUGAAAUGCGUAGAUAUCGGGAGGAACAUCAGUGGCGAAGGCGGCCCUCUGGUCCAGUACCGACACUCAAGUGCGAAAGCGUGGGGAGCAAACAGGAUUAGAUACCCACGUAGUCCCUGAGCGGGCUGGCAAGGCGCAU
rnacentral:rRNA from 1 species